UCUGUACUGUAUUAUAACUGCAUCGUUAAGAGAAGAACAACUAAGAUUCUUCCAUCACCUGGAGGCCCACUGUUCCACAUCAAUUCAACCACAAUCAAACACACUACUGGUACUCAAUUAAUCUUGUUUUGUUGGGGGUGCUGUUGGACUGGGCAGUCUGUUGGACAGUGGGCCUCCAGGCUAAGACAAUCAUAAUCUUAAAUAUGUCUAAAAGGAAGAAAGAUCCAGCUGAUAAUCCACAGCCUUCCUUGGAUUACAUUUGUUAUUCACAAGAGGUGCACCCCUUCAAGACCGCUGAAGUAGUUCUACAAAAUGGAUCUCUUUCACAACAGCUGUCGGAUGAAAAUAUGAAUGGGCAAUGGAUUCAUAAACUUGUGGGAGAAAAACUUUACUACAGAGUCAUACAUAAUGGAAUAGAGGCAAUUAAUGAUAUAUUAUAUUAUUCUAACAUUAACAUACAGCAAAAUAAUUAUUAUCUUCCUGGCAAAGAAAAUAAGAUACUUUUAGAACUUUUAACAAUUGCAGAAACAAAUUUAAGAAAGUGUAUAACUUUAAAACAAUGUGGGUAUAUGUGGUUAAAACGUAAAGAUGGAAUGUAUGAGCAAUAUGGACCAUUUUUUAAAAAAUCAAGUCAGAUGACUGUUCAUCUAAGUUAAUAGAAGUGUAUAAUACAUUGGUUCCAGAACUAGAAAAUAAAGCAUUUAAAAUGGAAAAAUAUUUAUAUAAGAAAUCUGAUAGCUAAAACAUUUUCAAAUCUAUUAAAACCUAUUCCAGAAAGAUUUAGACAAAACAUUUUUAAAGAGCAAAAAGAAUUGUUCCAACAUCCAGAUUUACUGUGUGCGUUUAAUGAAUUGAAUUACCUUGGUCGGAAAAAGAUUACAAAUACUAAGGAAAAUCUGAUAACUUUGUUUGGUAAUGAUUUAAGUGAUCAAGUUUGGAAUGAUUAUUUUAUGGCUCUUAAAGAUACAUUUUUAGAAUGGUGGGAUAAAAAGGUGAAUGAAGCAUCCAGCAUAUUUAUAAACAAAAUUGUAAGUGACUAUUUAAAAAUGUGUACUUUUCAGCUCUUCCUUGAUGACAUUCCAGACACUGUAAACAAAAACUUUAUUGGCCUUCUGUACCACACUAAUGAUUCUACUCCCCCAGUAAUUAAAUCUGAAAAUGUUAUUUUGAUGGAUUGAUUGGUGUAUUUGUAUGUUACAACAUUUAUAAUGAUUUGAAUAAACAAUCCCAG